AACGAACGCUGGCGGCAUGCCUAACACAUGCAAGUCGAACGCCCUCUUCGGAGGGAGUGGCGCACGGGUGCGUAACGCGUGGGAACCUGCCCUUAGGUUCGGAAUAACUCAGAGAAAUUUGAGCUAAUACCGGAUAAUGUCUUCGGACCAAAGAUUUAUCGCCUUUGGAUGGGCCCGCGUAGGAUUAGGUAGUUGGUGGGGUAAAGGCCUACCAAGCCGACGAUCCUUAGCUGGUCUGAGAGGAUGAUCAGCCACACUGGGACUGAGACACGGCCCAGACUCCUACGGGAGGCAGCAGUGGGGAAUAUUGGACAAUGGGCGAAAGCCUGAUCCAGCAAUGCCGCGUGAGUGAUGAAGGCCUUAGGGUUGUAAAGCUCUUUUACCAGGGAUGAUAAUGACAGUACCUGGAGAAUAAGCUCCGGCUAACUCCGUGCCAGCAGCCGCGGUAAUACGGAGGGAGCUAGCGUUGUUCGGAAUUACUGGGCGUAAAAGCGCGCGUAGGCGGCUU
rnacentral:rRNA from 1 species